UACAGAGGGGGCAAGCGUUGUUCGGAAUUACUGGGCGUAAAGGGCGCGUAGGCGGCUUUGCAAGUGACGGGUGAAAUCCCUCGGCUUAACCGAGGAACUGCCUGUCAAACUGCAUGGCUUGAGACCGGGAGAGGUGAGUGGAAUUCCCAGUGUAGCGGUGAAAUGCGCAGAUAUUGGGAGGAACACCAGUGGCGAAGGCGGCUCACUGGACCGGUACUGACGCUGAUGCGCGAAAGCGUGGGGAGCAAACAGG
rnacentral:rRNA from 1 species